UGCGGCCAUCUCAGCGUCGCCCACCAGCUGUUCGACGCUAUGCCUCAAACAAACCUGGUCUCCUGGACCGCCCUCAUCGCCGGCUACUCCCACCAUGGCUUUCAUCCACAGUGCUUCCAUCUCUUCUCUUCUAUGCUCCCCCAUCACCUGCCUAACGAUUUUGCGCUUUCCACCGUCCUCGGCUCAUGCGCAAAGUCUGCUCAAUCUUUGCUUGGCCGCCAGCUGUGACGGACACGGGGAUGAUGGCUGGUCUGUGUUCUGUGCACUGCCCUUCCGCAACCUCAUCACUUGGAACUCCAUGCUUGCUGGGUUCUUUCUGAUGGGGAAGCCAGAGAGGUCACUUCAACUCUUUACUCACAUGAACACAAAUGAUGUUGGCCUUGAUCGAGCCACAGUGCUUGCUGUUGUAUCCUCGUGCUGUAGCCUGUUGCAGUGCUCGCAGAUGCUUUCCCUUGCAAUCAAGGCGUGCUACGAUUCACAGGCUGAGGUGGGGACUGCACUCAUAAAAGCUUAUUCAUCUCUAGGAGGCGAUUUCAAAGACUGUUAUAGAAUAUUUUCUGGUAUUAAAGAGCGCGAUAUUGUAGCUUGGACUGCUAUUAUAACUUCGUGUGCGGACCAUGAGCCUGAGGAGGCCAUUCUUCUAUUCUGUCGGUUGAGGCAGGAAGGUUUUAGACCUGACCGCUACACAUUGUCUGCAGCAGUCAAGGCUUGUGCGGUGCUUGCAACUGAGCGACAGUGCUUGGUUUUCCACUCGUGCAUCUUCAGGUUUGGGUUUCCUGAUGAUACAGUUCUUUCCAAUGCGCUAAUUCAUGCAUACUCUCGGAGUGGCAGCAUUAGCCUAGCAGAGAAGGUUUUUAAAGAGAUGGGUGUUCGCGACCAGGUGUCGUGGAACUCAAUCAUCAAAGCUUAUGCAGCCCAUGGCCGUUGCAGGGAAGCAUUAUUAGCCUUUGAGCAUAUGGACAUAUCACCUGAUUCUGCAACGUUCAUCGGAUUGCUCACUGCUUGCAGCCAUGGCGGUUUACUUCUAGAAGGCCGCAAUUUAUUCAAGGCCAUGUCACAAGUUUAUGGGGUUGAACCUCAGCUUGAUCACUAUGCCUGCAUGGUUGACAUACUUGGAAGGGCUGGAAAACUUGAAGAAGCUGAAAAGUUGGUGGAUGAAAUGCCAACCGAGGCAGACCCUGUUGUGUGGAGUUCAUUGCUUGGAGCAUGCUGGAAACAUGGUGAAGACAAAAUUGGGGGAAGGGCAGCUCAAAAGCUCGUUGAAAUGGACCCACAUAAAUCAGCAGGAUAUGUUAUGCUUUCCAACAUCUAUAGUGCGAAGGGGAGCUUUGGUGAUGCGGCCUCUGUGAGGAAAGAGAUGAAGAAGAUUGGAGUGAAGAAGGAACCAGGGCUGAGCUGGAUUGCAGUUGGGAAUCAGGUUCAUGAGUUCUCAGCAGGGGGCCGACGCCAUCCCCAGAUUGAAGCAAUAUAUGUGGAGCUUAGAGGGCUUGUAAGUAGGCUCAAGGAAAUGGGUUAUGUAGCAGAUACAAAAUUGGUACUCCAUGAGAUUGAGGAGAAAUAUAAGGAGGAGAGACUCUUGCAUCACAGCGAGAAGUUGGCAUUGGUUUUUGGACUGAUGAAUGCUUCUACUUACCUGGGUCACUUGAGAAUUAUGAAGAACAUCAGGAUUUGUGAGGAUUGUCAUAAAUUCAUCAAGUUAGCAUCCAAAUGUGUAGAGAAAGAGAUUGUGGUGAGGGAUUCCAAGCGUUUCCACCAUUUUACUAGUGGUGAGUGUUCUUGUGGUGACUAUUGGUGACGGUUUUACUGCCCAUGCUACAAACAAGACAUGGCGGUUUACUUGUAGAAGGCUGCUAUAUAUUCAAUGGAUGUCAAUUCAGGCAACAAUGUUAUGUGGACUGCCAUGCUCAAAGCAUGAUGGAAGAAACAAAGAAAGAUUGCGGGAAGAGCAGCCUUCUUGUUCGGAUGAUUCCAAACAUCAUCUGGGCAUGUAAUGCUCACCACAUGUAUAGAGACAAGGGGCUUUAGUGAUACAGUCUCCGUAUGGAAGAAGCUUAAAGUGGUUGGGUUGAAGAAGGAACCACAGUGGAGCUGGAUUGCAGUUGGAAAUCAUACUCAUGAAUUUUCAGUUUUGGGUGACUCCAUCCUCAAAUUGAACAAAUGGACGUGGAGCUUAAAGGGCUUGCAGAUAGUCUCAAGGAAGUUAUGUAGUAGACAGAACUCGUACUGCAGGUAAUUGAAGAAAAGGACAAAUUUUCAAAACUAACCCUUUUGCAAAAAUAUUCCCCAAAAACGACCUGUUUCAACUUUAAUUACCAAAACCGACCCAGUUUCAGCCCUGAGGCUGAAACUGGGUCGGUUUUGGCGGAAAAAGUUGAAACAGAUCGUUUUUAAAAAAUAAGUUUCAAAAAUGGUUUGUUUUGAAAAUUUGUCCUUGAAGAAAAUUAAAAAGAGGCUUGCAUCAUAAUCUGAAGUUGACUUGAAGCUUUCAUACUGAUGAAUGCUUCUACUUCUUGGGGGUCAGCUGAGAAUUAUGAACGUUAGGAUAUCUGAGUAUUGUCAUCCAAGUAUGCAGAGAGAGAUUGCAUUGAGGGAUUCAAAGUUGUUUCAUUUUGUAUAUGGUGAGUGCUCUUGCGCUGAUGUCUGGCAACAAAUAAAUCAUCCGUGCAACAAGACGUGGAUGAAGUUGAGAUUGUUCCUCAAAAAGAAUAAUUCCAAGGGGGGGUUUGCAAACCCUUGAGUUCGGUGUUUAAGAGUGUUGACAAAUACAAAGAAGGCUAGAGAUAAGUGGGGAGGAAAGAGGGAGACGUGAUGUGCGACAGGAGUUUGGAGAAAAGGGGACAGGAUGGAGCAGAAGCAGAUUUUUUGAGAAAUUGUGUUGGGAGAGGGCGAGGGCAAGGAUGGCUCCAAGUUUGAAGGAUUAGAGGCAUUAUCGUUGGAGCUGGAUCAGGUCGUUUGGUGGGGGGUUUGGCAGAGUUUCUUUCUCAGCGACUUCAGAUAACAUAGGCUAGACCAGUAGAGUUGAAGAAAGUUGAACACUUGAAGAAAUAUGAUUACAAGAGACAUACUAGGACUGGCCAUUACAAACCUACACAGAAACACCUUCACUUAUGAGCUUGCACAGUUGGCUAUUGAUUCUUAAUACAUCAGCAGCAGGACUAGCUAUCCUCUGUUAAUUUGACCAUGCGAUGAGAGUUGCACACUGUGUGCAUGGAGUGGCUUGCUCCUCAAAUGCAAAAUUCUCCAAUGUGCUGUCUCAUUAAUUUCUACCGUUGUGUAAGUUUACUGAUGAGAUGGUACUGCAUGUGUUUAGUUUUUCUUCAGACGUUGAUUGUAAGUUGUUCUGAAAUGCCAAGGUCAAGUAUUUCUUUAAGAAUGAUAGCAGGAAGUGGGAGAUGGAGGAACGACUUUACUUUAUGUUGAAUACUAUUGCAAGCUUCUUGUUUUUGGCUAAAAUCAUCAAGAGGGGUCGAGUUACAGCCGAACCUUGCUUACAUAGAAGGAAUGACAGUUGUAUUUACCAGUUUUCCUCCAGUCCCCUUGUUUUGCACUAGUCCCACAGUUACUAAUCCCUUGGAACACCAUGUAUCAAGUGAACCCGAUCUAUUGACCGCGCUUACGUUCCAGCACGAUCCACAGGAUACUCACAUACUCUCGUCUCCUAGCAUUCCUACAUGGACAUCAUGAGCAGAAGGGACUCUCGGGCAGUCUCCUGUGGUUAACAGCAAAAACACAGAAGAAGUUGAAGCCAACUGCAGACGAGCAUUGCUUGCAAUAUGUUUAUAGACAUCUAGAA